rnacentral:lncRNA from 1 species
AAAAUGGAACAUUUUAAUAAAUAAAUAAAUAUUUGUAAAAAAAAAAAUGCAUUCAUUAUGUGACAAUAUUCACUAAAACAGUAAAACUUUUACAAUAUUACAAAAUUUAAAAUAUUACAAUUUAAAAUAACUGUUUUCUAUGUAAAUAUAUGUUAAAAUGUAAUUUAUAGCAGUGAUCAAAGCUACAUUUUCUAAAUAAUCACUUUCCAGUGUCACAUCAUCAUUCAGAAAUAUGCUGUAAAAGUGUUCACAAAAAGAAAUUAAAUAAACAAAAAUCACCCUACCUUUCUGGAAUAAUGUAUAGAAUUUAUUCUGAUAACUUUUAGGAGUACAAUAGCAUUUUAGUUUUACUAAACCUAGUUAGUGUCACAUUAAACAUUAUUUUUAUUGUUUUAAUGCACAAAUAUUAAUUCCCUCUAUUUCAGAAUGAAGAAAUGCAAAAGUACGGAGCAGCUUGACAACGAUAACACACAGUCGGCAGAUAACAGCAGCGCUGAUGCUUCACCGCAGGAACAGAGUCUGAAGAAGAAACAGGCGGCUACACUGGCCAGCAUCAGAGAACUGAUCAGUCAGGUACACACUGACCCUGUCUUCUGUCCUACAACACACUCCUGUCUGAAUCUGAGUGUGCACAUUACACACAGCCGCUCCGAAGCAUGGGAACUAAGAUUUCUGCAGAAGAAAGUUAUCAUUUAAUUCAGCA